rnacentral:rRNA from 1 species
UACGUAGGGUGCAAGCGUUGUCCGGAAUUAUUGGGCGUAAAGAGCUCGUAGGCGGUUUGUCGCGUCGACUGUGAAAACCCGAGGCUUAACCUCGGGCCUGCAGUCGAUACGGGCAGACUAGAGUUCGGUAGGGGAGACUGGAAUUCCUGGUGUAGCGGUGAAAUGCGCAGAUAUCAGGAGGAACACCGGUGGCGAAGGCGGGUCUCUGGGACGGUACUGACGCUGAGACGCGAAAGCGUGGGGAGCGAACAGG